rnacentral:rRNA from 1 species
UACGUAGGGUGCAAGCGUUGUCCGGAAUUAUUGGGCGUAAAGAGCUCGUAGGCGGUCUGUUACGUCGGCUGUGAAAACCUGGGGCUCAGCCCCGGGCCUGCAGCCGAUACGGGCAGACUAGAAUUCGGUAGGGGAGACUGGAAUUCCUGGUGUAGCGGUGGAAUGCGCAGAUAUCAGGAGGAACACCGGUGGCGAAGGCGGGUCUCUGGGCCGACAUUGACGCUGAGGAGCGAAAGCGUGGGGAGCGAACAGG